GUGGCCAAGAAGGCCAGUGGCAUCCUGGCUUAUAUCAGAAAUAGUUUCUCCUGCUGGACCAAGUUGAUGAUCAUCCCCCUGUAUUCAGCUCUGUUGAGAUCACACUUUGAGUACUGUGUUCAGUUUUGGGCCCCUCACUACAAGCCUUUGAAGCCCUGGAGUGUGUCCAGAGAAGGCCAAUGAAGCUUGUGAAGGGUCUGGAACACAAGUCUUACGAUAAGCAGCUGAGGGAACUGGGAUUGUUUAACCUGGAGAAGAGGAGUUGCAGGGGAGACCAUAUUGCUCUCAACAGCUCCCAGAAGGGAGGUUGUAGAGAGGUGGGGAUCAGCCUGUUCUCCCAGGUAACUAGAGAUAGGACCAGAGGGAAUGACCUCACAUUGUGCCAUGGGAGAUUCAGGUUGGAUAUUAGAAUUCUAUGAUUGUUUUUCUAUGGUUGUCUUUCUAUGAUUGCUUAUGUUGCUGACAUAAAGACUCCUCAUAUCUAUCUCUAUUUUACUUGUUUGCAAUUUUUUUUUUAUUGGGAAAAAGCUAUUAUAUUUUUCUUACCAUCAUCUAGUUUUCUCUUUCCUGAACUGUUCCUUUCAGAUAACAGUAUCUCAGAUUGAGGAGACUGGAGCCUUGGCAGUUUCGUGUCUUCCUCCUGCUAUAUCUGCAGUUGUAGCCUCCCAUCCACCUGUUACUCCAUAAGGAAAAGAUUGACUUAAAGGGACCUAUUCUCAGAGCAAUUACAGGCAAACCAUGCUCAACUUUCUCAGACAGCAGAAAUUUAUGAAGUAGAAUUCAGUCCCAGGAGACCUUCCUACGAUUUGAAGGGUGGGAUUAUUUGUUCAAAUAUGCUUUUGAAAGCCAUUUUAUAAAGUAUCUAAGAAGUUGAAUGCUUGAAGAUAAUAUUUUGAACAUUACAAAAUAUAUGAAUGUUUAAUUUCUACUCCUUCUUAUCCUAGUUUCAUUCAGAGAGGUUUGUGCAGUCACUUGUUCCAUCUAUCUUUCCCCUGAUAACACUUUACCUUCUAGCCAAUUUAAUAAAAUUUGAUGCACAAGUGCAGAACCCCAAACAGGAAAUGCUCUAGAUUUUAUAAAAUUCAGAGCUUGGUAGAAUGAGGUGGGGGGGGAGAAGUAUUUAUACUCUCCAAUUACAUACUAUACUGGGGAAAAAAUGUAUCAAGAGCUCAAGAGUUCUUCCCAGUCUGCCCCUUCAUAGGAUGAUUUAGAUUCAGUGCCAUCUUGGUGAUUUCUUGCUCACUCCCGCCUGAUGGCCAUGUGGAGAUCACAGAGCUCAGAUGAAAUCGUAGUAGAAGUUAAUUUCUGCCUAGGUGACAGGUGGGAAAGAGGUCAUGGAAUGAACAAAAAAUGUUCAUAAGGUAUUUGUGGAACAAAAUGGUAAACUUAGGCAGAAUUGUCAUAUACAAAGUAGACACCCUUUUGUGAGGAAAACAGCAUAAGUCCCUGAGAAAGAGAAAGAGUUUAAUUAGUUUAAGUGUUCAUUAAACAAUAAGUUAUGAAUGGAAGUUGAUUUUACCUUCUCUCUCUUUGUCUCGCUCCAAUUUAUCAGAGGGAGAGGAGGUUCUUUGAUGUUUGUAUACCUGGCAUGAGAUUAAGAAACAAUGGUUCAAAUGUUGGUCUGAGCAGUUUAUUACAAAUCCUAGUCAUUCAGGGAGAUGGGGAAGGGGAGAAGGGCGACAGAAAAGAUAGGAAAUAGAAGCAAGGAGUCUGUAUAGGAAGCAGGAGGGAGAUAGUCACCACCAUGUUCCAGUGUGGUUCGUAGUUCAGUCAUUGAUCUUCAGUAGUGGUGGGUCGGCGGGCGUUGUUCUGUUGACAACGGUGUCCAUGGUGACAACGACGACAACGAUGGCAGUACAAACUUAUUUAUAAGUCCAAAGUGGUUGAGUCAGCUCUCUUUUGAGUGACAGCUCGAAUCCGAAGUGGUUGAGUCAGCUCUCCUUGGAGUGGCAGCUACUGGCUGUGGGAUCUCAGCAAAAAUUCCUUUGUUAUCAUCUUCCGGGCCUUGCCAGCAGAUAAGAGGAAGCAGGGAUGCCCAUCUGCAUCCUGUUUUUCACAGGGCAUGAUGGUGUCGUUCCCUAAUUUUCCCACACCAAGCUGGAGCUAUUAGGCCAGAUCUUCCACCAGUAAUCACUCCUGAGCACUCUCUUCCGGAGGCAAGCAGCUCUGGAGGAAGGUGCUUUCAAAUGUCAAAGUGAUGUUGAUUGUCACAUGGUAGCACCCAUCAUUUGCCACCUCCAUAAAUCAGUUAAGAGUCUUAUCACAAGGAAUACCUCAGGAAGCAAGCUUUGAGACAGAAGACAAAGAAGGGUUCUCACACUCUUUUAUAAAUACUUCUGUGAUAACACUGAAAAAAACAAACAAACAAACAAAAAAACAAAACAGGAGCCUUAGGAGCUGCUUAGGAUUUUGUAAGGAGUAAAUAUCCUAGAAAAUUAAAGAGAGUGUUAUGAUUAUAUGAGGUUUUUAAGGUAAACAAUGUAAUCAAAAUUUUAUGUACAUUCGUAAGUGCACAUUUACAAGCUGAAAUAAAUAUUUCUAUUUCAGCAUUGCAUUUAGAAUAUUAACACUAGAUUUCUGAGUUUUAGGAUUUACUACAAACACCCACACAUACAUGUAUUUCAUUCUUGAAAGGCAUUUUUUAGUUGUGCACCUCAGAAUAUACGUCUGCUUCUGAAGGUAGAAAUGAGUGAAUGAUGAAUUGGAAUGAUGAAUUAUUUUUAAAUAUUUAAUAAAGUAUAACUUUUUCUUCCUAUACCCACACAUCUUUCUAGCUGUCUCUCUCCAGCAAUGGAUGCACUGUUGGAAGCUUUGAAAAAAAAUCCAGAAUUACAAAGUUGCUAACAGAGCACAUGGGAGUAGCACAUGCAGGUGAGCUAAAGGUCAAAGAAUUCUUGAUGUGCAAGUAAAUGUGUUUAGGCAAAACAGUAUAUGAUCAAAGUUGAGUACAGAAGGGCUUAAUUUUUUUGAAAUUCAUAAAAUCUCCUUGGAAGUUCAUAAAAUCUUAAUAAACAUUUUCUCUCUUUUGAGAACAUCUUUUGUUAUUGUUGUUUUUUUGUUUUGAUUUGUUUUUUUCCUGUGCUUUCAUUUUUUACUUCUCCUAUAGCUAACAUUCCUAAAACAUAACAACAGACUAAUAAUCUUGCUAGACUGUAUAAUAAUAUGAUAUUUAGCUUUAAAAAAAAAAAAAUGAGUUUAACUAUUUUUUUUUAAAUUAAAAUUGAUUUUUUUCUGAAAUAGAUGAUAGUUUUUAAAUUGGAACACAAGUCUUAAUAUGGUAGGUUUUUUCUCAGUACUUUACCAUGGAAUCAUAAAAAGUCAAUGGCUGGCAGUUACAUCUGGCUGUUUUGUCCAUGAGCUUAUCCGUUUAACUUCCUGUACUAAGCAAGGCUUACUUGGAACCUAGAAACAGAUUUCCCAUUGAGUUUUUGAGCCAAGCUUUGAAUAUCAAGGAUGAGAUUUCACUGCAACCCUGGACAAGCUGUUCCAUGCUUAGUCAUUCACGAAGUUAAAAUAACUUCCUCUAUAUUUAGUCAUAGCUUUCUUUAUCAUAACCUGUGCCUACUGUAGUUGGUCCUAUACAUCUCACAGGAGAGACUGGCAGCUAAAAGCUCAUUUUCUAGGCUAAACUGAUCAUGUAACCUUCCUCGUUAUGGCUUUGUAUCUUAAUUAUCAAUGUUAUAGAAGAGUGAUGAGUCACAUAAUUUCUUUUUUUUUUUAUUAGUUUUAGCUUUGUUUGGGUAGAUGAUGAAAAAGGAAUGAUAAAAUUGUUGUGCCUUCAGUUAGAAAACUGCAAGAUUGUCACAGUCAUACCAAAGAUAAAUUACCAGCAUUUCACUGAUUCUCAGCGAGUGUAUUUAUAGGAGGGUAGAUGACUAUAUUAACUUAAACACAACAAGAAGAUGUUAUUAUUUGUUACUUUAACAUCGUAUAACUAAAAUAUACAAUUAAGGCUGUAAAUUUAAAAUAGUUUACGUAUUCCUGAAUCUGAAGAAAUAACAUGAAAUGCUGCUUGUUCAUUAAGAAGAAACCUUUAUUCUGACGCCAGUAUAUUUACUAUGACCAUAGUAAAUAUAAUAAAACAACAACCAAACAAACCACAACAAGCCCCAGCUAAAUAUUUGUCUGUCUCAAACAGGAACACAGGACUUAAAAAUCCUUAAAUAUUUUAGAUCCAUUUCACAAACUUUAUUAUUUGUCAAAAACAGUAUUUAAAAAAUAUAUAUUUUCCUACUUUUCCAAGUCUGUUUCACUUACUGGAAAAACAAAAGCAAACAAGCAAAACAAACAAACAAACAAAAACCAACCUUUUUUUUUUUAAGCUAUAUGCUUUUUGACAGAUCAAAAUUUCCUACUUCUAAAUUUCAAUUUGAAACUUCCAGCAAGGCCACUUUUAAAAAUUGGUGUUUAUAACAUUUUCUGGUGAAAGACAGAGGACACAGAUCAUAUCAUUUUUUAGGUGUACUAGCAAUAAAUGUUGUUUAUCCCAACAACACUUAUUCAUUAAAGUCAAUUUAAAGACUUCUCAAAGAUGACAGUUGAAACCAACGUUACAGUAAUAUAUAGUAUGCAUUUUCCUCUCCAAUUUUACUUUUUACUCCUAAUCUUUCACUAUGAUAUCUGUUGCUUUUGUAAGCCCUUGAAACAAAUUGAUUCCAAGUGAACUAUUUGGAGAAAAUGAAUUGAAUGUGCUAGUAAUAUUGAAAUUAUCUAAGCUGCAGUGUUUUUUUAAUAACUUAUUUUGCAGCUGGUAUUUUGGUAUAUUUGAGAGACAUUCAAGCUAAAAAUCUUGGUGAUUCAGCAAUGCCCAGGGAACUUAGAAAUGAUGAUGUUUCCAGAUUGUAAUGUCAGCAUGACAUUCUCCUCCAGAAUUGUGUCUGUGUAUUGCCUUCAGGCUAGGUAACUGACUGAUAGAACACAGGGGAAAAAAAAAAAAAAAAAAAAAAAAGCAACUAUAUUAAAUUUCCAAUUUUGACUGUAGGCAUGAACAGGUGAUUUCAUAUUUUCUUUUUCUCAUAUGUUUACUUUCAUCUCUAUCUAAAAAUAUAGUGGGAAAAGAGUAACAGUUCACAGAGUAAAUUAAUAUGGACUAGCAUAUCACAGUAGAGAAACAGUUAUUCAUCCAGGGAUCACUUUUUAACUAAUAUAAUUGUGUGUAUAAAAUGUUAAGAACAAUUUACCAAAAGUAUUCUGAGAAUUCUUCACAGAGUCACAACUGCCUGCAUAAGUACAACAUUCUUAUCUUUAAAGUUUUCUUAAAUGUCUCAGCUGUAGGAUCAGAAGGUGUUUUGAGCAAGUUUGCUGAUGAUAUUAAAUUGGAAAGAUCUGUUGACUCCACUGAGGGUGGAAAGACCUUGCAGCAAGAUCUAGACAAAUUAGCAAGCUGGGCAACCACCAGCUGCAGGAAAUGUAAUAAAAACAAGGGCCAAGUUCUGUACCUGGGAAGGGAACUGUAUCUGUCUGGCUAUACAUACAGACAGGAUGAUGAGACACUGGAGACCGGCUCUGCUAAAAGGAAUUUGGGAAAUUUGGGAGUCUUGGUCAAAGGCAAGUUGAACAUGAGUCAACAGUGAGCACAGGCAUCCAGGACAACCAACCAUGCCCUGGAGUGCAUCAGGCCCACUACUGCCAGCUGGGUGAGGGUAGUGAUUAUCCUGCUUUGAUGCACUGCACUGACACAGCCUCACCUCAAGUACUGUAUGCAGGUUUGGUUGCCACAGUACAAAAAGGGUGUAAAAUUAUUAUAGUAUCCAAAAGAGGUCUACAAAGAUAGGCAAGUUACUAGAAGGGAUGGUGUAUGAGGAAAAGCUGAAGUCCAUUAGUUUGUUCAGGUUGGAGAAGAGAAGUCUGAGAGGAGACCUCAUCACAGGCUGCAGAUUCUUCAUGAGA
ensembl:lncRNA